rnacentral:rRNA from 1 species
AGAGUUUGAUCCUGGCUCAGGAUGAACGCUGGCGGCGUGCCUAACACAUGCAAGUCGAGCGAUUCUCUUCGGAGAAGAGCGGCGGACGGGUGAGUAACGCGUGGGUAACCUGCCCUGUACACACGGAUAACAUACCGAAAGGUAUGCUAAUACGGGAUAACAUAAGAAAUUCGCAUGUUUUUCUUAUCAAAGCUCCGGCGGUACAGGAUGGACCCGCGUCUGAUUAGCUAGUUGGUGAGGUAACGGCUCACCAAGGCGACGAUCAGUAGCCGACCUGAGAGGGUGAUCGGCCACAUUGGAACUGAGACACGGUCCAAACUCCUACGGGAGGCAGCAGUGGGGAAUAUUGCACAAUGGGCGAAAGCCUGAUGCAGCAACGCCGCGUGAGCGAUGAAGGCCUUCGGGUCGUAAAGCUCUGUCCUCAAGGAAGAUAAUGACGGUACUUGAGGAGGAAGCCCCGGCUAACUACGUGCCAGCAGCCGCGGUAAUACGUAGGGGGCUAGCGUUAUCCGGAUUUACUGGGCGUAAAGGGUGCGUAGGCGGUCUUUUAAGUCAGGAGUGAAAGGCUACGGCUCAACCGUAGUAAGCUCUUGAAACUGGAGGACUUGAGUGCAGGAGAGGAGAGUGGAAUUCCUAGUGUAGCGGUGAAAUGCGUAGAUAUUAGGAGGAACACCAGUAGCGAAGGCGGCUCUCUGGACUGUAACUGACACUGAGGCACGAAAGCGUGGGGAGCAAACAGGAUUAGAUACCCUGGUAGUCCACGC